CAAGGGCUUGGUCCUGACUUUACUUUCAGCUCAAACUAGAUUUAUACAUGCAAGUCUCCGCACCCCCGUGAGGAUGCCCUUCGCCCCCUUCCCGGGGGCAAGGAGCGGGUAUCAGGCGCGCGCCAUGCAGCCCAGGACGCCUUGUUUAGCCACACCCCCAAGGGUAUUCAGCAGUAAUAAACAUUAAGCUAUAAGCGAAAGCUUGACUAGGUUAAGGUUUCUAGGGCCGGUUAAUCUCGUGCCAGCCACCGCGGUUAUACGAGUGGCCCAAGUUGAAAGUCGCCGGCGUAAAGAGUGGUUAGGAGAAUAUUAAACUAAAGUUGAACAACCCCCAGGCCGUUGUACGCUUCCGGGAGAACGAAACCCAACCACGAAAGUGACUUUAUUUACACUUCUGAACCCACGACAACUAGGAUACAAACUGGGAUUAGAUACCCCACUAUGCCUAGCCGUAAACUUUGAUGCUAACAUACAACUAGCAUCCGCCAGGGGACUACAAGCGCCAGCUUAAAACCCAAAGGACUUGGCGGUGCCUCAAACCCAUCUAGAGGAGCCUGUUCUUGAAUUGAUACUCCCCGUUCAACCUCACCACCCCUUGUCCGACCCGCCUAUAUACCGCCGUCGCCAGCUUACCCUGUGAAGGUCUCAUAGUAAGCAAAAUGGGCACAGCCCAGAACGUCAGGUCAAGGUGCAGCGAAUGGGGUGGGAAGAAAUGGGCUACAUUCCCUAAUAUAGGGUACUACGGAUAGCGCUGUGAAAACAGCUCUUGAAGGUGGAUUUAGCAGUAAGAAGAAAAUAGAGUGUUCUUCUGAACUCGGCUCUGAGGCGCGCACACACCGCCCGUCACUCUCCCCAAAUUCACUAAUUCAAGUAUUUAACGAAAAAACUCGAGUAAAGGGGAGGCAAGUCGUAACAUGGUAAGUGUACCGGAAGGUGCACUUGGAACAAU
rnacentral:ncRNA from 1 species